rnacentral:rRNA from 1 species
GAUGAACGCUGGCGGCGUGCCUAAUACAUGCCAGUCGAGCGAACGGACGAGAAGCUUGCUUCUCUGAUGUUAGCGGCGGACGGGUGAGUAACACGUGGAUAACCUACCUAUAAGACUGGGAUAACUUCGGGAAACCGGAGCUAAUACCGGAUAAUAUUUUGAACCGCAUGGUUCAAAAGUGAAAGACGGUCUUGCUGUCACUUAUAGAUGGAUCCGCGCUGCAUUAGCUAGUUGGUAUGGUAACGGCUUACCAAGGCAACGAUGCAUAGCCGACCUGAGAGGGUGAUCGGCCACACUGGAACUGAGACACGGUCCAGACUCCUACGGGAGGCAGCAGUAGGGAAUCUUCCGCAAUGGGCGAAAGCCUGACGGAGCAACGCCGCGUGAGUGAUGAAGGUCUUCGGAUCGUAAAACUCUGUUAUUAGGGAAGAACAUAUGUGUAAGUAACUGUGCACAUCUUGACGGUACCUAAUCAGAAAGCCACGGCUAACUACGUG